AUUGAACGCUGGCGGCAGGCCUAACACAUGCAAGUCGAGCGAGCGGCGGACGGGUGAGUAAUGUCUGGGAAACUGCCCGAUGGAGGGGGAUAACUACUGGAAACGGUAGCUAAUACCGCAUACUAUCGGAUGUGCCCAGAUGGGAUUAGCUAGUAGGUGAGGUAAUGGCUGACCUAGGCGACGAUCCCUAGCUGGUCUGAGAGGAUGAUCAGCCACACUGGGACUGAGACACGGCCCAGACUCCUACGGGAGGCAGCAGUGGGGAAUAUUGCACAAUGGGCGCAAGCCUGAUACAGCCAUGCCGCGUGUAUGAAGAAGGCCUUAGGGUUGUAAAGUACUUUCAGCGGGGAGGCGUUACUCACAGAAGAAGCACCGGCUAACUCCGUGCCAGCAGCCGCGGUAAUAC
rnacentral:rRNA from 1 species